rnacentral:rRNA from 1 species
CCUACGGGAGGCAGCAGUGGGGAAUAUUGCACAAUGGGGGAAACCCUGAUGCAGCGACGCCGCGUGAGUGAAGAAGUAAUUCGUUAUGUAAAGCUCUAUCAGCAGGGAAGAAAAUGACGGUACCUGAGUAAGAAGCCCCGGCUAACUACGUGCCAGCAGCCGCGGUAAUACGUAGGGGGCAAGCGUUAUCCGGAUUUACUGGGUGUAAAGGGAGCGUAGACGGCAGUGCAAGUCUGGAGUGAAAGGGGGGGGCUCAACCCCCGGACUGCUCUGGUAACUGUACGGCUGGAGUGCAGGAGAGGUAAUUGGAAUUCCUAGUGUAGCGGUGAAAUGCGUAGAUAUUAGGAGGAACACCAGUGGCGAAGGCGGCUUACUGGACUGUAACUGACGUUGAGGCUCGAAAGCGUGGGGAGCAAACAGGAUUAGAUACCCGAGUAGUC